rnacentral:rRNA from 1 species
AAAUUGAAGAGUUUGAUCAUGGCUCAGAUUGAACGCUGGCGGCAGGCCUAACACAUGCAAGUCGAACGGUAACAGGAAGAAGCUUGCUUCUUUGCUGACGAGUGGCGGACGGGUGAGUAAUGUCUGGGAAACUACCUGAUGGAG